GACGAACGCUGGCGGCGUGCUUAACACAUGCAAGUCGAACGGAAAGGCCCUGCUUUUGUGGGGUUCUCGAGUGGCGAACGGGUGAGUAACACGUGAGUAACCUGCCCUUGACUUUGGGAUAACUUCAGGAAACUGGGGCUAAUACCGGAUAGGAGCUCCUGCUGCAUGGUGGGGGUUGGAAAGUUUCGGCGGUUGGGGAUGGACUCGCGGCUUAUCAGCUUGUUGGUGGGGUAGUGGCUUACCAAGGCUUUGACGGGUAGCCGGCCUGAGAGGGUGACCGGCCACAUUGGGACUGAGAUACGGCGCAGACUCCUACGGGAGGCAGCAGUGGGGAAUAUUGCACAAUGGGCGGAAGCCUGAUGCAGCAACGCCGCGUGCGGGAUGACGGCCUUCGGGUUGUAAACCGCUUUCGCCUGUGACGAAGCGUGAGUGACGGUAAUGGGUAAAGAAGCACCGGCUAACUACGUG
rnacentral:rRNA from 1 species